GGCAAAAACGCAAAAGUCAUGGCAGGUCAUAUGAGCAGAGCGGUCAUCGGAUGGAACAGGAUGUUGAUAAUUUAACUAUAACCAAUAAUCAUGCUGUUAGAAGGUCUUCUAGUCAAAACCAUAGAUCAGCAUAUUUUUCCAAUCGUAACCUUCAGAGGAGUACCUUUGACCAUCAUGGUUCGAACUCUAGAGUACAAAAUGCAUUUGAAGAUAGAUAUGAUCCUUCUGAAUCAAAUGGUUUGUAUGAAGAUGAUAUUCCAACAAUUCUUUUGCUGUUUUGCUGAUCAUUAUUUUCUGUUGUCAAUUGUUUGUCUAACCUUGUGGAAGCCAAAAAAUUUCCAAAACACUCUUCAGAGAACAGUAUACUGCAUGUUGAUAGGCUAAGGUAGUAGUUGUAUAUGCUAUUGUAUUUCAAAUGAUAUUCUCAUGAGUUAAUUCUUCUUUUAGGAUGUAUCUUUUUGGGGGAUUCUCCAAGUUCUAGAUGGAGGCUGCUUGCACAUAUGGGAGUAGUUCCAACAUUCAUACUUUGAGUUCAUUUUGCUUGUAGUUGCAAUUUUAGAUUACAGCUUACAAAUGCGAAGAUCGCAAUUAACAGGCUCUGCCAGAAACACGAGGAAUUUUGUUCUUAUGAAGGGGAUUUGCAGGAACCAUUUGUUACAAGGUGGUUGAAAGAAAUCUUGAUGACGGCCUUCCCAAACUGGUUGAUUUUGUUUCUAAAGACAAAAAAACAGCAUGUUUUUGGGUCAUGAAGCAAAGCUGAAUUAUGCAUACAAUGAUAUUUGCCAAAUUGCCUCAUUAGAAAAGGGCAAGCAAGAACCUACUCAAUCGACUUAUUCAUGGAAGUAGGGGGGGCGCCCAGCGAAAAGGUAAAAAAGUGAAUUUUGCUGGAUGAAUUCAUGGUAAGUAAAGUGUAUAUUUAUUUAUUUUGUACUUGUAUGCAAUUAAGAUUGGAUUUCACUAAAAAUCUAGUCAAACUGAAAGAAAAUAAACUCAAUAAAUGAGUUUGGUGAACCCAUUCUGAUCUAGCACAGAUUUGGGAUUUUACAGAUUUAUUUACAUCUAAAUUCUAAUUUUAUUAUUUUUUAUUUACAUUUCUUUUCUUUCUUCAGGUGGAUGUUACAUAUGAAGCAAAGUUGAAUUAUGCAUACAAUGAUAUUUGGGAUUUUACAGAUUUAAAAGUGUUUUGGAUUUUAGAGACUUUGGUAUCUUCUUUUGCUGGAUUAGUUUCUCUCAAUCCAAACAUUCUCAUCUGAUAUGUCCCGUUAACCACCAGCAUCCAUAAUACCAAGUUGGACUUUUCUCUGAUGGCCAUUGAAAGAGGAAAGAUUAGAGUGAGUUUGAGGGCGAAGAUGAAGGAAAUAUUCAUAUAGAUGGAUUGUCAGAUUUGCUUUCAGUUUUAGUAUUAGGGUUUGUUUCUGUAUUGGUUUCAGUCCAAGGAAGAUAAAAAGCAGGAUGAGCAUUUCACCACUAGCAA